CCUACGGGGGGCUGCAGUGGGGAAUAUUGGGCAAUGGGCGCAAGCCUGACCCAGCAACGCCGCGUGAAGGAAGAAGGCUUUCGGGUUGGAAACUUCUUUUAUCAGGGACGAAGCAAGUGACGGUACCUGAUGAAUAAGCCACGGCUAACUACGUGCCAGCAGCCGCGGUAAUACGUAGGUGGCAAGCGUUAUCCGGAUUUACUGGGUGUAAGGGGCGUGUAGGCGGGAGUGCAAGUCAGAUGUGAAAACUAUGGGCUCAACCCAUAGCCUGCAUGUGAGACUGUACUUCUUGAGUGCUGGUGAGGCAAUCGGAAUUCCGUGUGUAGCGGUGAAAUGCGUAGAUAUACGGAGGAACACCAGUUGCGAAGGCGGAUUGCUAGACAGUAACUGACGCUGAGGCGCGAAAGCGUGGGGAGCAAACAGGAUUAGAUACCCCUGUAGUC
rnacentral:rRNA from 1 species